AAAAAAGCUUCGGCGUCAGGCUCAAAGCCGCCCGUACCCCAAACCGACACUGGUGGUCAGGUAGAGAAUACCAAAGCGAUCGAGCGAAUCCUGGUCAAGGAACUCGGCAAAUCACUCCCGUUCCUUCGGUUUAAGGGAGACCCCCGAUGGUGAACACACUUGCUGUGGGAGCUUUUGGGGGUGGCACAGACCAGGGGGUAGCGACUGUUUACCAAAAACACAGGUGCAUGCGAAGGCGCAAGCCGCUGUAUAUGCACUGACGCCUGCCCGGUGCCGGAAGGUUAAGAGGAUCCGUCAGCCUUCGGGUGAAGCGGUGAAUUCAAGCCCCGGUAAACGGCGGUGGUAACAAUAACCAUCCUAAGGUAGCGAAAUUCCUUGUCGGGUAAGUUCCGACCUGCACGAAUGGCGUAACGACUUCCCCACUGUCUCGACCAGGAGCUCGGCGAAAUUGCAGUACGAGUAAAGAUGCUCGUUAAGCGCAGAAGGACGAAAAGACCCCGGGACCUUUACUAUACCUUGGUAUUGGCAUUCGGUGUGGAUUGUGUAGCAUAGGCGGGAGGCCGAGAGGCGCGGUCGCCAGAUCGCGCGGAGCCGUAAGGUGAAAUACCGCUCUGUUCGCAUUGGAUGUCUAACCUCGAACAGUCAUCCUGUUCAGGGACAGUGCCUGGCGGGUAGUUUAACUGGGGCGGUUGCCUCCCAAAGAGUAACGGAGGCGCCCAAAGGUCCGCUCAGCCCGGUUGGCAAUCGGGUGGCGAGUGCAAGUGCACAAGCGGGCUUGACUGCGAGGACGACGGUCCGAGCAGGGACGAAAGUCGGGACUAGUGAUCCGGUGCCGGUGUACGGACGCGGCAUCGCUCAACGGAUAAAAGGUACCCCGGGGAUAACAGGCUGAUCAUUCCCAAGAGUCCAUAUCGACGGGAUGGUUUGGCACCUCGAUGUCGGCUCGUCGCAUCCUGGGGCUGGAGCAGGUCCCAAGGGUUCGGCUGUUCGCCGAUUAAAGCGGCACGCGAGCUGGGUUCAGAACGUCGUGAGACAGUUUGGUCUCUAUCCUCUGCGCUCGUUGGAAUGCUGAGGAGGCCUGCCCAUAGUACGAGAGGACCUGGGUGGACGAACCUCUGGUAUGCCGGUUGUCACGCCAGUGGCACGGCCGGUUGGCUACGUUCGGAAGGGAUAACCGCUGAAAGCAUCUAAGCGGGAAGCCUGCUCCAAGAUAAGCAUUCCGUGGAACCUUCGAGUUCCUGUAGUCCCCAUGCAGAACACGUGGUCGAUAGGCCGGACGUGGAAGCCCCGCGAGGGGUGGAGCCGACCGGUACUAACGGACGAAAGGCAACAC
rnacentral:rRNA from 1 species